GUGGGGAAUUUUGGACAAUGGGCGCAAGCCUGAUCCAGCAAUGCCGCGUGCAGGAAGAAGGCCUUCGGGUUGUAAACUGCUUUUGUACGGAACGAAACGGUCCUGGUUAAUACCCGGGGCUAAUGACGGUACCGUAAGAAUAAGCACCGGCUAACUACGUGCCAGCAGCCGCGGUAAUACGUAGGGUGCAAGCGUUAAUCGGAAUUACUGGGCGUAAAGCGUGCGCAGGCGGUUUUGUAAGACAGGCGUGAAAUCCCCGGGCUCAACCUGGGAAUGGCGCUUGUGACUGCAAAGCUGGAGUGCGGCAGAGGGGGAUGGAAUUCCGCGUGUAGCAGUGAAAUGCGUAGAUAUGCGGAGGAACACCGAUGGCGAAGGCAAUCCCCUGGGCCUGCACUGACGCUCAUGCACGAAAGCGUGGGGAGCAAACAGGAUUAGAUACCCUGGUAGUCC
rnacentral:rRNA from 1 species